GCGGGUGUGGCGAAACUGGUAGACGCACCAGAUUUAGGUUCUGGCGCCGCAAGGCGUGGGGGUUCGAGUCCCUUCAUCCGCACCA
rnacentral:tRNA from 2 species